rnacentral:rRNA from 1 species
GACGAACGCUGGCGGCGUGCCUAAUACAUGCAAGUAGAACGCUGAAGGAAGGAGCUUGCUCUUUCUGCGUGAGUUGCGAACGGGUGAGUAACGCGUAGGUAACCUGCCUGUUAGCGUGGGAUAACUAUUGGAAACGAUAGCUAAUACCGCAUAAAAUUGUUUAUUGCAUGAUUGUCAAUUAAAAGGUGCAUCUGCUCCACUACCUGAUGGACUUGCGUUGUAUUAGCUAGUUGGUGGGGUAACGGCUCACCAAGGCGACGAUACAUAGCCGACCUGAGGGGGGGGUCGGCCAAACUGGGAACGGGACAAGGCCCAGAAUUCCUAGGGGAGGAGCAAGAGGGAAACUUUGGGCAUGGGCGGAAGGCUGAACGAGCAAAGCCGGCGGAGGGAAGAAAGGUUUCGGGUUGGAAAGCUCCGUUGUAAGGGAAGAAAGAGAGUGGGAGUGGAAAGUUCACAUUGUGACGGUACCUAAUCAGAAAGCGACGGCUAACUACGUG